ensembl:lncRNA
CUGUGGCUGUAGUGUAGGCCGGCAGCUGCAGCUCCAAGACCCCUAGCCUGGGAACUUCCCUAUGCCACAGGAGCAGCCCUAAAAAAGACAAAAAAAAAAAAAAAAAAGAAAAGAAAAAAGGUUUUAAAGGUGUGCACCUGGAGAGACUACCUCAGCAUGGAGCAGGAAAGGUUUACCUUUCGUCUAGCAAAGACCUCGAGACAUCCCUCUUUUAUGGAUGCCGAAACUGAGGCCCCACAGAGGCCUCACGGCCUCUCACAGAGGGUAGGUGACUAGUUGAGGGUCAUAUAGCUAGUGAGUGACAGAAGCUGGAGUUUGAACCCAGGCCUGCCUGACCCUAAAAUCCAUCUUGUUCUCCCAACUGCCAUUUGGGGAACUGGUCCGUGGCUUGAAACACUUGGUUCAUGGGCUGUGACUUUCUCUUGGUUCCCUGGGUUGGUUUUGUGGAUGGAGAGCAGGUGUGGGGGGAAGUUGGGGUGCUGGUAGAAGCAUGUCCCUGUGACACUGAGGUACAGUGAGGGUUAGGCCCCAGGCUGCAGGCAUGCUGUGAGUGGUUUUCAUUCCUCCGGGGGUGAGGGGUAGGGGGGUGCCCUCCUGCUGCGAACACUGUCUAAGGACAACCCUUGGUGAUCAGCCCAGAAUCGCCCCGUCCCAGGUACCCAGGCAUUUCUGGCACAGGACUUUUCCCAGCACUGUUGCAGCCCAGUUACCCACCACCACGACCCCCUGUCUCUCUGAUUUUAGAUUCUGUCUCCUGCAUGAGCUGGAACCAUCCAUACUUUCUUUUGGGUCUCACUUCAACCCCUUGCCUCUAGUUGGGUGGUCUCUGUCCCCUGCCCCAAUGUGGGCUUUAGUGCCUUCUGGGUGCAUCUAAAAAGGUGUGCACUCCUGGAAAUUCCCAUCAUGGCACAGUGAAAAUUAAUCUAACUAGGAACCAUGAGGUUGUGGGUUCGAUCCCUGGCCUCGCUCAGUAGGUUAAGGAUCUGGCAUUGUCCUGAGCUGUGGUGUAGGUCACAGACACGGCUAGGAUCUGGCAUGGCUGUGGCUGUGGUGUAGACUGGCAGCUAUAGCUCUGAUUAGACCCCUAGACUGGGAACCUCCAUAUGCCCUUGCUUGUGUCCCUAAAAAAAGACCAAAAAAAGUUGUGCAGUCUCUAUUUUCUCAUUCAGCAGUUUGCCAGGCACUGGAUGGAUGCAGGGAGGCAGAAAUGAACUAGGGUUUGUCCCUCGGGGGAGCCCACAGCCUGGAGAGUGGUGGGGACAGGGGAGUCAGAUAAACCAAUGGUCACAGCACAGCACAGCACCAUGGGAGUGGACAGAGUAUGCUCUGGGAGCUGGGGGAGGAAAGGACUUGCUGCAGAGGGUGACACCAGUGAGGAUGAGGGAGAAGGACCAGCCAACCAGGGAGAGGAGGUCAAGACAAGGGUGAUCAUGGCACACUCAGGGAACUGUGAGUCAUUCGGUGUGGCUGGAUUUAGGAGGCAUCUAAGGCCAGUGAAGCUGGAGAAAGGAGCCUGGGAGGAGGUUGGGUUUUUACCUAAAGACCGCAGGAAGCGUUCUAGGACCCCCCACAGCAGAGACAGAUGGAGAUACUGCAGGCCCAGGUCUCUGAGCACAAGAGAAAGUGUAGCCCAAUGGAAUCUGUUUGUCCAGCCCCAGUCACACAGGUAGCUGAGGUGGGGGGGGUCUUCUGAUGGAGUCGUACCUGCGUCUUUCUUUUUCUUUUGGCUUUGCCUACGACUUGUGGAAGCUCCUGGGCCAGGGAUCAAACCUGCGCCACAGCAGCAACUCAAGCCACUGCAGUGACACCACCAGGCCCUUAACCCGCUGCAUCACCAGGAAACUCCCCUAACUGCAUCCUUUCUGAUCAGCCUCUUGAAGAGCAGCACCCCACCAUCUUGUAGCUGGUACAGAGGGAAACCCUUUGAAGAUGCACUACAGAAACACGCCACCAGGUGGCAGACCUGGAAAUUGCACAGAGACCUCCUUUUUUCCCUUAUUUCUUAAACACAGUACAGUGUUUGGCCUGGAGAAAGGGGGGCAUUCAAGAACAAACUCCUGUUCAUGCCAGGCUGACUCUACCCAACCCAGUGCCAAGUUCUGCCACUGUGAGCUAUGUGCCAACAAGAAAUCCCUUUGAAACUGAAUCUGGACAACAGAUUCCUUCAGAGUCUUGGGAGCUGGUCUGGCAGGUUACACUUUCUCCCUUGUUUCCAGGGACCUGAGAGUAAGUUACAGACAUCAUGGCCCUUCACCUCUAAACACUUCAGUAUCUGUCACCGAAGAACAAGGACAUUCUCCUGUAUAACCACAACACAGUUUUCAAAUUCAGGAAAUCUGACAUUGUGUCAUCUAAUACACAGUCCAUAUUCAAAUUCUGCCGAUUUCCCAGUCACAUUCUGUACACUUCUUCUCCCCAUGAUCACCCCCAUGCAGUUACUUGUCUCGUCUUUAAUCUCCUUUAAGUGAGGCUAGUUCUUCAGCCUUUAACUAUCUGACAUUGAUGUUUUUGAAGCAUCCAAGCCUAUUCUGUUGAAUGUCCCUCAAUGUGAGUUUGCUUCAUGCUCACAUUCAGGUUAUGCAUUUUUGGCGAAAGAAAGAAAGAAGGAGUUCAUGUGUGGCUCAGAGGGUUAAGGAUCCAGCCUUGUCAUUGCAGCAGCUCGGGUCAUUGCUGUGGUACGGGUUCAGUCCCUGGCCAAGGAACUUCCACAUGCUGUGGACAUGGCCAAAAAAAACCCAAACAAACUUAAGUGAUAUUGUAUUAUAUCAGGAGUAACAUGAUAUCAGUUUGUUCUCUUGUUAGUGAUAUUAACUUUGAUUAUCUGGUUAAGGUUGCACCUUUUUUUUUUUUUUUAAAUCAAGGUAUAUGUUCACAUACUGAAUUUCACAAGUCUUUUAACUGUACAGUUUAGUCAUUUUGACAAACACAUCCAGAGUUAUGUCCUUGGACAGCAGAAGCUUUAUAGGCCAGUGUAUGUGCUCUGUCCCCCUCUCACAAUCCUCUCUGAGAGAUUCUAAACUAGAGGCACCAGGGCUUAGUUCCACAUUCCUCCCUGCCCCCAACCAGAUCAUGAUGAAGGACCCUUUUAGGGUGGCCUCAUCAUCCUGGACAGUCCCUUACUGUGCCUGGAGCUGAUCAUUGCCAUCCGGUGAUCCAGCCUCUGCUCCCCAAUAAACUGAUGAACAGAACGAGGAUGAGAUGCUGUGUGCCUCUGCCUGAAAGAACAGGCAGUCCCCUUGACCCACAAAACUGUGCUCUGCCCUCUGCUACAGAAUUGUACCAGGUACUACCCAGCACCCCUCUACCUCCUCAGCAGUUCAGCCAACCCCCAGGGCUCCUCUCCUCCCAACACUGAGUUGAACAUGUCACUCAAGCUGGUCAUUGGACCACCCCCACCACCAGCAGACAGAUAGCAAGUUCAAGGUUUCUUAAACCUUCCAUCUGGUUACUCUCUUUCUUCUGCUCCCCCCACCCCCACCCCGACUGAGUCAGCGCCUAACUAUCCCUUUCUCCUUGGGCAGUAAAUUUAAAGCUACUGUGUUUAAGCUAAGAAAAGCACAAUUUAUCAGAUGCUUACCAUGUGCCAGUAUGUACUCUUGCUAACCCGUUUGCAUAGGUGACUCAAUCCUUAGACAAACUUGUAAGGUGGAGCUGGUACUCUGGGUUUUGUAGGUACAGAAUAAGUACCUUGUCUGAAAUGUCAGCACUGUGAAGUGAUGGUACUGGACCUGGAACCAGGUUUAGCUCACUCAGAGCUUCCCAACCAGUGUGGGUUAUGUAGGUCAAGACGGUGAUCCCUUUAGCCCAAGAGUGACUAGAGCAGAGCACAGCUGGGGUUCCCAGCCUUUCACCCCCGAGUGCUCUGUAGAUGUUUUUGUCUGAGCCGAGACGCAAAAAAGACUGAGGCGCAUUGCCCUGACCACACUGCUCUGCCGCCUGAGCGUCCCGUGGGCAGAGACGAUUUUCCUGUCUCCCUCUUAGGGUCUGGUGCAGGUCUAGCCACACAGACCUUUAACACGUGCAUGGCAAGUAGGACUGAGGCCGGGAUGGGGGGGUGGCCCCCGUGCUCACUUCCAGGUGCUAGGUACGUUGGACGCAGGGCCAAAGAGGGCCAGAGGUAAAGUCUAGAAGACAGAGGCUCAGGAUCUUUUUGUUUGUUUUGACUGAGCCAGGAAACAUGGGGGUGGGGCUAGGGACAGCUGACAGGGACAACUUGAAUCCCGGCACAGCACCAUUGGCUCAGCCUAACGCUUCAGGGAAGCAAGUCCUUAGGCUCCCAGCAGGCAUUCGUGGCUGCUGACCUAUUGUGGCUCCAGCAGUGUUAUCACCACGCACAUGCACACAUACGGCAGUGAACCGGGGGCCGGGCUUCAGCUGCUCUGUCAUUGGGUGCAGCUGAGGCAAGACUGAGCUGGGAGGCCUGGGUGCCAUCACUCUUUGCAGCCCAGUUCCUCUGGGGGUUGGUGGUAUGUCCGCCGUAUUGAACUGUGCAAUGUCAUGGGGUGCCCUGACUAGCACUGCCCUGCCCAACUGUCCUGUACCCCGUCACACGACACCCCUGGACCCGGCAUCAUGGGCCUUGGACCCUUAAUGUGGUGCCCAUGGCCUGGUCUUCGCUGCCAUCUGGGAGAUACCCCAGCAGCCUGGGGGGAGAUGACCUUAACUGUGAGCUGGCAUUCCCCCCUCUGGCCAUGCUGGGGUGGCUGUCACAGAGCAGGGGCCCUCAUGCUGAGGCCCACAACUUGCUCCCCAGGUUGGGCUGAGCAAAGGGAACUCCCUGCUUUCAAGGUCAAGAAGCGCAGCCUCCGGGGGCCGCGAUGCCUCCCUCCAGGCCCCCCACCCCCACCUCCAUUGUUGCCUCACUGAGCUGCUUGAUGAGAUCAGGUUCUAAGGGAACUGACGCUGACUUGGGAGGAUAGCACAUGGAAUAGUUGACAGAUUUAAAGCUCCGGAGACAUCAUAGCCAGGACUGCUGAGUUCCUGGUGAGCUGAGCCCUGGCCCAGGAGAAACCAGGCAGAUGGCUGCCUCUUAGCCAGGCUGGGCCAGGACCCUUCACCCCAGCCUGUGGACCAGUGUCUCUGGAGGGGUCUGGGCCCAUAUCCUUCUGAAAGCAGAAUAGCCAGAGCUUCCUCAUCACAGAUCUCACUGUCAAGCCAGGAUCCCUCAAAGCAGCCUCCCCUGCUGUGGGAGCAUCUGUGGGCCAUUUGCAAGUAUGUCUCUGGAGGGGCUGCAUUGAGAUCAGGAGGGUGAGACAGACGUGCCCGUGCAUCAGCAGGGGGCAGGGGACAGGAGGGUCUGUCACCAGGGGGUUGUCUUUGCUCAUCCUGUCAGUGAGCUGGCAGCACCUUCCGCUUACCCAGGCCUGCCUCUUCACGCUGCUCCCAUUGCCUCCACCAGUUCUGGUGGAGCGAAGGGAUGUUCAGGAGGGAAACAGCCCUGCUGCCACUUCCCCUGCCAGCAUCUUCUCCCCCUCCUGCCUGUCUGCGCUCAUCCUUCUGUCUGCCUACAUUUUGGAGCAAUUCCCAUGCCAUUUGCUUUAGCUGAAUCCUUAGUGGGGUGGGUGGGGUCAGGCUGAGCCCACUCACUGUCUGUGCCACAGCUGCUCUCAGCAAACUGUUGUCUAGACCAGGCCUGUGCGUGGGCGCCUAAGCAGCGUCUAUAGAUCCGAUGACGCCACCGCGGUGCUCUCCAAGGAACCUAGAAGAAAGGGGAGGCCUAGUGCUCCAGGGAAGGCAGAGAAUAGGGCCUGAAUGGUAAUGAAACCAACUUACCCACCAGGGCAGAGCAGCUCCAGCACAGGGCUGCUGACCCAGUAGGAACUGGCACCACCUGGAGAGAAGGUAUGCAGCCGUUCACAGGUAUCUUCUGGGCCAGUCACUGGGAGGAGUGGUUUUAUGUAUGUUUUUCUUGUGGUGGGGAAAAGACACUAAGCAUAUAAGAAUACAAAUAAAUACAUGAUCACAAACUGUGGUAAGUGCCAUGAACGAAGAUUAUAGGAUACCGAGUGAGACCACCUGUGACCCAUUGGUGGGGGGACAUCAAGAAGACUUCUCCGGAGUUCCCGUCGUGGCGCAGUGGUUAACGAAUCCGACUAGGAACCAUGAGGUUGCGGGUUCGGUCCCUGCCCUUGCUCAGUGGGUUAAGGAUCUGGCGUUGCCGUGAGCUGUGGUGUAGGUUGCAGAUGCUGCUUGGAUCCUGCGUUGCUGUGGCUCUGGUGAAGGCCAGUGGCUACAGCUCCGAUUCGCCCUCUAGCCUGGGAACCUCCAUAUGCCGCAGGAGCGGCCUAAGAAAUAGCAACAACAACAACAACAAAAAGACAAAAGACAAAAAAAAAAAAAAAAAAAAAAAAA